rnacentral:lncRNA from 1 species
GGAGGAGGAGGUUGCAGUUAGCUGAGAUCACACCACUGCCUUCCAGCCUGGGUGACAGAGCAAGACUCUGUCUCAAAUAAAUAAAUAAAUAAAUAGGAAGAGAUUCUGUCAUUUGUGAAAACACAGAUGGAAUUGGAGAACAUUGUGUUAAGUGAAAUAAGCCAGACACAGAAAGACAAAUACCACAUCUUCUCAAUUAUAUGUGGAAUCUCAAACAAUUGAACUCAAGGAAGCAGAGAGUAGAAAGGUGGUAACUAGAGGCUGGAGGGUGGGAAGAAAAUAGGGAGAUGAUGGUCAAAGUGUAUAAAGCCUCAGAGAGGAGGAAUAAGUCUGAACUUUUCUUUCUUUAUUCUUUUGCUGAGAUCAAUUACAUAGCAUGAUGAAUAUGGUUAAUAAUUGUGUAUUAUGUUUAAAUUUCUCUAAGAGAGUACAUUUCAAAUGUUCUUAUCAAAAAAUGUUAAAUAUUUGAGGUGAUAAAUAUGUUAAUUAGCUUGAUUUAACCAUUAUAUUCAAAGUCAUAACACCACUUUGUACCACAUAAAUAUAAUGUAUAUUUUGUCUAUAAAUUUAUGUUUAACAUAUAAUUUACGUUUAUAAAUUAUAUUUCUAGCAAACUAUAAUCUAUAAUUUAUUAUUUAUAAUUAUACUCUGUAAUUUAUCUGUAAAAAUAAUUCAUCAAUAAAAAUGAAAUUAAAUUCAAAAUAAAAAUAAAAAUUUUUUAAAAAAUCAUAAAGAACCUGUCAAGGAUUAUGAAUCCAUUUCUAACCACCCAGAGGUAACCCCUAAGAGGCAGUUUCGCUAUCUUUGCUCUUCAACCUGUUGAAAUGUAUUGGGACAGAAACUCAAAUUUCCCCUUCUGUCAAAGAAAAAAUAAGGCAAUCCAAGAGGAACUGUUUAGAAUAGUUCCAGAUGGCUGAGUCAAAAAAAAAAAAAAAAAAAAACUGAGCUACGUGUGGCCCUUUAUAAGUAGGCCAAAAAGUAGGGUUUUUGAGCACAGUAAUGCCAGGGCUAUUGUAUUGCAAGGAAAAGAGUCAAUAUUUUCUUGGCCAGGCACAGUGGCUUACUGACUGUAGUCCCAGCACUUUGGGAGGCCAAGGCAGGUGGAUCACCUGAGGUCAGGAUUUCGAGACCAGCCUAGACAACAUGGCGAAACCCCUUCUCUACUAAAAAUACAAAAAAUUAGCCGGGCAUGGUGGCACGCACCUUUAAUUACAGCUACUUGAGAGGCUGAGGCGGCUGUAAUCCCAGCUACUCAGGAGGCUGAGCAGGAGAAUAGCUUGAGCCCGGGAGGUAGAGGUUACAGUGAGCCGAGAUGGAGCCACUGCACUCCAGCCUGGGUGACAAGAGACAGACUCUGUCUCAAAAAAGAAAAGAGUCAAUAUUUUCUUUUUCUUUCUUUUUUUUUUUUUUUUUCAGAUGGAAUCUUGCUCUGUCACCAGGCUGGAGUGCAGUGGUGUGAUCUCAGCUCACUGCAACCUUCGCCUCCCAGGUUCAGUGAUUCCCCUGCCUCAACUUCCCAGGUAUAUGGGACUACAGGCGUGCGCCACCACGCCCAGCUAAUUUUUUGUAUUUUAGUAGAGACAGGGUUUCACCAUGUUAGCCAAGAUGGUCUCGAUCUUCUGACUUCAUGAUCCGCCGGCUUCGGCCUCCCAAAGUGCUAGGAUUACAGGCAUGAGCCACCACGCCCGGCCAAUAUUUUCUUAAUCAAAGAAAUAUAUAUCCAACCUACGAAACUACACUAUUUCCUUUGGAAAUAGUUCAUGUUUGCAGAGUUGAAGGGGGUUGCCCUCAGGUAAUUCAGAAGGAAUCAGUGAAAGCUUCUCUGCUGGGGAGAUCAAACUGCAGUUGGAGCACCCCAGGCCUCCCUGACCCCUCCUCACACCAAUUCACAGGACUGAUUCCGACAACGGGCAGAAGAGCAUUUCCACUAACAACUGGUAAAGCUUGAGGUACCAGAGUUUGAAAGAUGCAAGAAUGGAGAGUUAGGACCCUUUCAUCACAUGAGGGCCAUGGGAUUUCCCAAGAGGGGAGGUGGGGACACCAGAUUGAGGGGUGACUUGAAGAGAGGAUGUGGGAGGAAUCAGACAAUGAGAGAUUGAAGAGUCAGAGAAAGAUGGGGAAUGGAUGUGUGUUAAUGUGUAUGGCAGGGCUGUCUUCACAAGCCUGAGACCUGGGCAGUCAACCUAUGAGACUAGACUGUUACCUUUGGCAGAAAGUUAAUGUUUGCAGUGCUGACAGGGGUUGCCCUUAGGUAAUUCAGAAGGAAUUACCUUCUAAGCACAGUGAAAGAUUUUCUGUGUUUAGGAGUCCCCUACACUUGGUUUAAUCCUCUAAUUUGCUGUCUUUAAAAUGUUUAAUAAUUCUUUUUUUUUUUUUUUUUUUGAAGACAAGGUCUCAUUCUAUCAACCAGGCUGGAGUGCAGUGGCGCACUCACUGCUCACUGUAGCCUUGACCACCUAGGCUCAAGCAAUCCUCCCACCUUAGCCUCCAGAGUAGCUGGGACUACAAGCCCACCCCACCACACCCAGCUAAGUUUUUAAAAUUUUUUCGUAGAGAUGUGGUCUUAUUCUGUUGCCUAGGCUGGUCUCAAAUCCUGGGCCCAAGGGAUCCUCCCACCUCAGCCUCCCAAAGUGUGGGAAGAGCCGCAGGGCGUGAGCCACUGUGUCUGGCCAAUAAUUAUGUUUGAACAAGGGGCUUCACCAUUCUAUUUUGCACUGAGACCUGCAAAUGAUGUAGCUGAUCCUGUGGGAGGCUUUCAAGAAUCCAAAUGAGUUGGCUUAAGUCACCACUCCUGCUUUGGAUUGAUGUUCUGUUACUAAAGUUAGUAACAAAACAAACUGUAGGCCGGGUGCAGUGGCUCACACCUGUAAUCCCAGCACUUUGGGAGGCCGAGGUGGGCGGAUCACUCGAGGUCAGGAGUUCGAGACCAGCCUGGCCAACAUGAUGAAACCCUGUUUCUCCUAAAAGUACAAAAAUUAGCCAGGCAUGGUGGCACACACCUGUAAAUCCAGCUACUCAGAAGGCUGAGGAAGGAGAAUUGCUUGAAACUGGAAGGUGGAGGUUGCAGUGAGCCAGGAUCACACCACUAUACUCCAGCCUAGGUGACAGAGGGAGACUCUGUCUCAAACAAACAAACAAACAAAUUGUAUUGAGAGAGCCAAUUGGUAAAACUGAUGUCGGAAACAGCCCCCUUAGCAGCCUGUGAGUCUCAUCAUGCUUGGGGUUACCCUUGGCUUUCCCAUGGGGACCAACCCAUGAUCUGUCCCCUCCCCACUGGUGCACCACCAGGCGGAAAGCCCCACAAAGCAGCCAACAUCCCUUCAAAGAUGAGAGGUCCUCCACCUGACUUUCCUGAUACUCCCCUCAGGAUCACAGGGGAUAAUGCUCUUCCCCCACCGGCCAACUCACCAUGACAUAGAAUGAAAUGGCCCAGCUACAGCCUGGUAACCAAGGUAAUGAUAAAGAACUGAAGAUCCAAAGCCAGAGAAUGAUAAAGUAACUUCAACCUGACACAGUAAAACAUUGCAGGGAGAGUCCGGGAUCUGGAAUGAGAAUGCCACGUCCAGGCUGUGUUACCUUACAAAAAUUAUUAAUGCUUCAGUGGCCUCAUCUGCAGAAUGGAAAUACCAAUAAUAGUAGCUAUCUGAUAAGGUUAUUGUGGGGAUAGUAGGAGACAAUCCAUAAUAAUGUUUGAGUAGUAGCUGGCACAUUGUAGAUACUCAACAUACGCCAGCUAUUAUUGUUAUAGAAAAUAUGCAGAUCUGGAAUAGCUUGGAAAAUGUUUAUGAUACAAUAACAAAUUCAAAAGAAGUCUACUAAAUACUGUGUAUUUUAUGAUUGCAAUUUUGUAAAAACUAUAUCUGCUUAUGGAAAAAGAUUUGAAGAAAAUAUGCUUAUGUGAAAAGAAUUUCUUACAGUGAUGGGAUUACGUGUAGCUUUAUUUAUUUAUUUGAGACCAGGUCUCACUCUGUUGCCCAGGCUGCAAUACAGUGGUGUGACACCAGCUCCCUGAAACUCCUGGGCUCAAGUGAUCCUCCUGCCUCAGCCUCUUGAAUAACUGGGACUACAGGCAUGUGCCACCAUGCCCGGCUAAUAUUUAAUUUUUUUGUGGAGACAGAGUCUCCCUAUGCUGCCAUGCUGGUCUUGAACUCCUGGGCUCAAGCGAUCCUCCAG